CCCUUAGAUGUUCUGGGCCGCACGCGUGCUACACUGAACGGUUCAAUGGGUGAGGUAGUGCGAAAGCAUGACCCAAUCUCAAAAUCCGUUCGUGCUGGGGAUAGAAGCUUGCAAUUCUCCUUCUUGAACGAGGAAUACCUUGUAAGCGCGAGUCAUCAUCUCGCGCUGAAUACGUCCCUGCCCUUUGUACACACCGCCCGUCGCUCCUACCGAUUGAGUGGUCCGGUGAGGCUUCGGGAGAGCUAAAUGGAUUGUGUUUCACAAACUAUUUGGCUUGAACUUUGUCAAACCUUACUACUUAGAGGAAGGAGAAGUCGUAACA
rnacentral:rRNA from 1 species